rnacentral:lncRNA from 1 species
AAAUGUUCACAUAAAUAAAGACAAGCGGUGGCUGCCACAGAGAGGUUCAGAGGAAGAGAGAGAGAGAAAGCCAGGCAGUGGAUGAUGGCAAGCCACCAACGAACCCAUCCACCCACCCACAGACGGUUUUAAUUAAGCCGCCAUGCAAAUGAGCAGCAACUGGUUUGUUGGGUUUUUUUUUGUUGCCAGGAUGGGGAUCCAGGUUGGGGGCGUCUCUAGAUCGGUCUCGGCUGUGCGAUUAAUUGCGCUGAAAUUGGCGCGGAAUUUCCAUGCAAAUGCGGGACAAGUGAAAGCCGCCGCAUCCACAGCCGGUGGCUUCUUUAUUUCCUCAGAUAACGAUCGGACUUUGCUGCAGAAGAGACCCACCGCAACUGCAUGUGUCUCCCCAGCCGCCAGCCGCAACUCUAUGACAGGGCUUCAUCUGUAGCUAGGCCCAGCAAAUCACUUAACAAUCAAUAGCAGCCACAGCAACGACAAUCUGCGACACUUUUCCAAACUCGUUUCCCAACAAGAUGUUGAUGUGGGACUGGGCCAGAGCUCUGGUCUCUUCUGGCUGCCUUGCCGGCGAACGCGUUAGAUUAAUUUCCAAAGGCUGUCAUUAAAAUUCCAGCGCAAUGCAAUUUAUAUGCCACACACAUGCGGCAAUGGCUUAGGCCAGGUCUCGGGCAUCAGGCAAUUUUUAAUAAAAACAGCUUCAUAUUUAUGAUAUCAGAAUAUGGCUAAGAAAAACCGAACCAGACUUCCACUGGGUACCACGCGCCGCUCGUUAGCCCCAAACGCGACUUAUAGAUGGUUUGCAGCUUCGCUGGUUAGAGGAUAAGAGGGGUCUCGGUCUCGGUCCCGUUCCCGGUCCCGGUCCCAGUCCCUGCCCCAGAGACAACAUCAUCAUCAGUGCACCGAGCGAACCAACGAACGAACGAACGAAACGCUUCGUACUGUUGAAAUUUGCAUGACAAACUCAAACUCAGCCAUCAAUCAUAUCGUGGAGCAAAACUGCAGUUGCAUUUUCU